GAGUUUGAUCCUGGYUCMKAACGAACGCUGGCGGCGUGCUUAACACAUGCAAGUCGAACGUGAUUGGAAGYUUGCUUCCAUGAAAGUGGCSCACGGGUGAGUAACGCGUGGAUAACCUGCCCUGGUAUCCGGAAUAACAUCKCGAAAGGGGKGCUAAUACCGGAUAAGCCUACRGAGCCCUCGGUCUCUGCAGGAAAAGGUGGCCUCUAUUUAUAAGCUACCGUAUCAGGAUGGGUCCSCGUACCAUUAGYUAGUUGGUGGGGUAAUGGCCUACCAAGGCRACSAUGGUUAGCUGGUCUGAGAGGAUGAUCAGCCACMCUGGAACUGAGACACGGUCCAGACUCCUACGGGAGGCAGCAGUGGGGAAUUUUGCGCAAUGGGGGAAACCCUGACGCAGCAGCGCCGCGUGAGUGAUGAAGGCUUUCGGGUCGUAAAGCUCUGUCGGAGGGGAAGAAAAGAAAACGGUUAAUACCCGUUUUCCUUGACGGUACCCUCAAAGGAAGCACCGGCUAACUCCGUGCCAGCAGCCGCGGUAAUAC
rnacentral:rRNA from 1 species